AUUGAACGCUGGCGGCAGGCCUAACACAUGUAAGUCGAACGAGUGGCGGACGGGUGAGUAAUGUCUGGGAAACUGCCUGAUGGAGGGGGAUAACUACUGGAAACGGUAGCUAAUACCGCAUACCAUCGGAUGUGCCCAGACGGGAUUAGCUAGUAGGUGGGGUAAAGGCUCACCUAGGCGACGAUCCCUAGCUGGUCUGAGAGGAUGACCAGCCACCCGGGAACUGAGCCACGGUCCAGACUCCUACGUGAGGCAGCAUUGGGGAAUAUUGCACAAUGGGCGCAAGCCUGAUGCAGCCAUGCCGCUUGUAUGAAGAAGGCCUUCGGGUUGUAAAGCACUUUCAGCGAGGAGGCGUUACUCGCAGAAGAAGCAGCGGCUAACUCCGUGCCAGCCGCCGCGGUGAUAC
rnacentral:rRNA from 1 species